rnacentral:precursor_RNA from 1 species
GUCGUUUUAAAAACUGAACCGUGCAGGGGAGUGGGCGUGUCCGGCGCGUCUCCUCCCCGUCCCCCGCUCUUGCGGGAGUUCGGACUGGAGUUCCGGAUGCUUUUCCCUUUGCAAUGCCUCGGGGGUCCCCUCCGCUGGCUUUCUCUCGGGUGGGCGUUCCGGUCUUCGCAAGUUGUUCUCCUGCGGUUCGGGUUAUUACAAGGGCGAGUGCCAGUGUCGUCUACAGUGUGGCUAUUCGAGGGGCUCGUUUUCGGCCGCAGUGGGUGCACCAGCGACUCUGUUCGUCUGGCAGUCCUGCUCCUUUGCGGUCGAAGGGUCCCAGCAAUUUCCACCUGCAAGGCGGUUCCUUGCAAACGCCCGUGGCUGCUUUGCAGACCGUUGAACAUUUGCCGGUCUGCAAAGCAGCUGCAACCCCCCGAAGUGUCGCCGGGCAGGCAAUGCCGUACAGAUUAUUUCGUGCCUUUGGACGGGUGCACCGUCCACUGUUUCCGUUCUCAUCUGUUCGGUCUCCGGCCUUUCGACACUCCGGGGCGGGGACACCCUUUCUCCGAUUUUCCCCCACGGGGCAUCGCCUCUGGUUGCAGGGGGGCGUCGAGUGGAGGUGCGUGUCAUAACACUCAACGCAUCGGUGCGGAUUGCACCAAGGAUCUGAUAAAUAGCUGUGCGGGCUGCGCGCCAUGCGCGCGUCGGACUCACGGCGCCAAUUA